GCUGGGUGUCGUGGUGCACGCCUGUAAUCCCAGUGGCUUGGGAGGCUGAGACAGGAGGAUCGCAAGUUCAAAGCCAGCCUCAGCAAAUAGCGAGGCACUAAGCAACUUGGUGAGACCCUAUCUCUA
rnacentral:sRNA from 1 species